rnacentral:rRNA from 1 species
CUGGGUUUGAAGUGCAGGUGUAAGCCUCAGAGAUGAGGUCCCCUCUUCGGAGGCGCCUGUAUAGGUGCUGCAUGGCUGUCGUCAGCUGGUGUCGUGAGAUGUUGGGUUAAGUCCCGCAACGAGCGCAACCCUUGUCCAUAGUUACUAACGGGUAGUGCCGAGAACUCUAUGGAGACUGCCGGUGAUAAACCGGAGGAAGGUGGGGAUGACGUCAAGUCCUCAUGGCCUUUAUGUCCAGGGCUACACACGUGCUACAAUGGACGCUACAAAGAGUCGCGAUGCCGCGAGGCGGAGCUAAUCUCAAAAAGGCGUUCUCAGUUCGGAUUGGGGUCUGCAACUCGACCCCAUGAAGUCGGAAUCGCUAGUAAUCGCAGAUCAGCACGCUGCGGUGAAUACGUUCCC